rnacentral:ncRNA from 1 species
GCAUUGUAUGAAAGGACCGGAGGUUAGCAUUCCCCUUGAUAAGUCUGAAAGAAGUCCUACUGGCCUUUACAACACAUAUACAGUUAAGGCAUUGCCACCUAUUCUGUGGCAUCUAACUAUGUUUAA